GGCGGCGUAGCGCAGCCAGGUGAUCUGGAGCGCCGGAACGGUCUCGGCCAUCAGCUUGGAGACGGCGUCGGCGCUGGAGAGGAAGGCGCCGCCG
rnacentral:tRNA from 1 species